UUUGGUUCUCCGUACAAUAGAAAACUGUUGAAGCGAGCUAAGAUGGGAAUGCAGUGAGAAUCUGCGACAUUACCCGAUGCUGUGAGUCCUUUUUUAAAGGUCUGCCGAUAAUUAUCACUGGGUGUUUAACCAUAGCUAAUGAGAGUUAGUUUACAGUGGUUGAUGAUUCAUCUGGGAAGAUAGAGCAGAUUGAGGAUGAAGUCAGAAGACCUGCCAUUUGCCA
rnacentral:ncRNA from 1 species